rnacentral:rRNA from 1 species
AAGUCGUAACAAGGUUUCCGUAGGUGAACCUGCGGAAGGAUCAUUACAAAUCUUUGCGGGUGCUGCGUGCAUAUUUUUGUGCGUAGCAUUCUGCACAUUAGCACAAGGUCGCAAGGCCUUGAUGUUUACGCUUGUUUGUUUGACAGAGUUAGUUGAGAAUAAAUAAAGACAACUUUUAACAAUGGAUCUCUUGGCUCUUGCAACGAUGAAGAACGCAGUAAAGUGCGAUAUGUAGUGCGAUUUGCAUGAAUCUGUGAGUCAUCUAAUCUUUGAACGCAACUUGCGCCUCUUACGAGGCAUGUUUGUUUGAGUACCGCAAUUCUCUGCAGCAAUGCGAUUUGGCUCGUGUCUUUGUUGACCGAGUUUAAAAGAAGCUAGAGGAUGGUCAGUUUAGACUAGCCCGAGUGCUAAGCAUUCUUGGGUCUAGCGCUGGAUUGCUCAUUUCAUCUAUUUUUAUCUUUGGCCUCAAAUCAAGCAAGACUACCCGCUGAACUUAAGCAUAUCAGUAAGCGGAGGAAAAGAAACUAACAAGGAUUCCCCUAGUAACGGCGAGUGAAGCGGGAAUAGCUCAAAUUUAAAAUCUCGGCGUUUUACGUCGCGAAUUGUAGUCUAAAGAGGGUGAUCUAGGGUCGGCGAUUUGCUCAAGUCCCUUGGAAUAGGGCGCCAGAGAGGGUGAGAGCCCCGUGAAAGCAUGUCGCUGGCCUCAAGUGAGAACCUCUCAACGAGUCGAGUUGUUUGGGAAUGCAGCUCAAAGUGGGUGGUAAAUCUCAUCUAAGGCUAAAUACUGGCAAGAGACCGAUAGCGAACAAGUACCGUGAGGGAAAGAUGAAAAGCACCUUGAAAAGGGAGUUAAAUAGUGCGUGAAAUUGUUAAAAGGGAAACGAUAGAGACUAGUAUUGGGCGUAGGCUAAGCUGGUGUUUCGGCAUUGGUGGUGCUUGCGCUUCGAGUCAAUGUCAGUUGUCUCUGCCGGAUACGGCUUGGAGAAAGGUGGGGUCGACUUCGGUCUUCUCUUUAUAGACUCUGAUGCCUGCGGCCGAGGCGACUGGAAGUCUUGGAACGCUAGGCUACUCGGGAGUAGUAGGCGGCAGACAGCAUGCUGACUGUAGCCUUACUUAUUCUCUACUAACCGACGCUUACCUGGACGCCUUUGACGAGAUGGUUUUUAACGACC